CUCAGUUAUAAGCAAGGCCAGUGGGGGGGUGAGGCAGAGGGGCAUCUCAUAGGGAAAACCUCGCACUUUUCUCAGCAUGCUGCAGUGGUCUGGUUCUGGAGGCACGGGGAACUGAGGACGGUUAAAAAGUUUAUUUUUUCAAACCAGCAGUCUGAUUCAAGCUCAGUUACGUCACUAAAAGAGUAACAUCGCACCGCACCUUCCCUGUAACCAAUGAGAAAAGAAGGAUUCCCAGAGACCACCAAUCAGCUGCAUGGUUGUAGGGUCCCCCACUCAGCACCUCUGGGGCUGCAGAGCAGACAGAGCAUGCUCACAACACUGAAUGCGACGGGAUAAACCAAAGUCAGCUAAGCGAAGGUGUCCUGGAACAAACCAUUUUAAUCACAUCACUGUGUGCACGUGACAUGAAUCUACAUUCAGAUUCUUCUGACUGACGCAUAUCAAAUAAAGUAAAACAUACCAAAA